rnacentral:lncRNA from 1 species
AAAGAAGGUCAACAAGAAGAACCACUGCACUCCAACACCUUCCCAGAACCAGACCCCUGCCGUCAGUGAAACAGGUAUCUUCACGCACGACUGGAUAGGCCUUUUGGAUACGCUUGUCCAAGGCCCAAGACAUAAAGUCUCCUGAAAGCUGUGUAGCAAUCAUUCCAUUGCUGACCCAUAGGAUGGUAAUCACAUACAUGAUUGGCUUCAUCUAGAAUCAUGGAUACCUUUCAUACCUUCUCAUCACAAGUUGGAACUAGUGGUCAACAUUGGGACAAUGCAGCCAUAAAUAACAUGGACCAAUAUUUUCAUGGAGUGAGCAAGACCUGCCAGCAGAGCUCACUGGAGCAGGGAGACAUGCCGUCAUCCUUUUGGCGCCUGACAAAGUACACUUUUUUUCUUCUAAAUAACACUAUAGUAACAUCUUCUGCACAAAGUUACAUUCCUAAUUAGAUUGGUGUUAAGUGAGAAAGAAUCCUAAAGAUGGUCCAAUGGGCAUGGUCUGAAGCCUCUCGCCAUCUCAGUGUGUUGAACCACCUGAUUUCUUGCAGGCUUGAGAUUCAGAUCCUGCUGAACGAUGUUAAGCAUUCGAUUAACCACAUGCAUGGGACGCUGAACACCAUGCAGGGGCAGUGUAUUGAGUUGCAGACUGCCAUGUCUAAGGUAGUGUCAGAUGAUUGAGAUGGUGAUUAUAAUAAUGAUGACUAGCGGUACCCCACCCUAAGUGCAGUAAAUCAUUGGAUCUGAUUAAUUAAAUUCAAUGCAAUUCAAUCUUUGAGGACUGCAACCAUAGAAAUACAAUUACUUUACACUAAUAAUAAGCUAUUGUCAACUUGCCGUCAAUGCUUAUCUUGCUCAUUGCUCACUGUCAAUUGCUGACUGUUACCCUAUGAGUGCAACUAUUAUUGAUUUCUCACAGAAAAAUUAUUUGGUUGCAAAUGUACCUGGGGCCAUGUAAAUAAUUGUUAGGCUACUCAUUUUGAAUCCACCGGUGGCAACUUGUGUGA